UACGUAGGGUGCAAGCGUUAAUCGGAAUUACUGGGCGUAAAGCGUGCGCAGGCGGUUGUGUAAGACAGAUGUGAAAUCCCCGGGCUCAACCUGGGAACUGCAUUGUGACUGCACGGCUGGAGUGCGGCAGAGGGGGAUGGAAUUCCGCGUGUAGCAGUGAAAUGCGUAGAUAUGCGGAGGAACACCGAUGGCGAAGGCAAUCCCCUGGGCCGCACUGACGCUCA
rnacentral:rRNA from 1 species